AGCCCGGAAGAGUGCGAACUAGGGCUGGAAGGUUGGGCGGCGGCCCCGAGUCCUUGGCCAGGGAGCUCUGCCUCUAACUUGAUUCUCCCGGGGCACGGAGGAUGCACAGGUCCGGGAGCCAUGUGGCCCCUGCACGUCCAAGCAGGGAGAACCAGGGCCUACGGCCCUACCUCACUCAGAGGCCAUUUCCUGUCUUGUUUGGAAGAGAUGCAGUAGUUUGGCUUAGCCGCGUUGGUUACCUAGACUCUCUGUGGUCCCUGAUCCUUUGAGGCCUUAGGGGUGCCUGGGUUUGCCCGUAUUAUUUUUUGCCUCCUUCACUCCCUGCAGGCCUGACCCAAAUGUGUUUCAGUGUUGUCCAAUAAACCCCAAAUGCCACACCUUAACUUUCACCUGUUGAAUUAGUGGCCUUCUACGUUCCUACUGUUCCAUUCUAUCAACUUUAAAGAUGCUACUUUACAAGCUAUAUUUUAAUGAUGGGAGUUGUUUCCGAAGGUGGUUUCUCUUCUAGGAACUUAAUGUGUUUGGAAUGGUGUCUGGCCUCGGGCCUUCCCUUCUUCAUAUUAAGUUUUUUAUGUUAUUUUGCCUUAAUGCAGAUUCUUUUAAUAUUUGGGCCUUAGAAAAGCUUGAAAUAAGUCACGAAAGUUCGCAAAGGAAUGCUUACAUCUCCAGGCCGAGAAAAAUAGAUAAAGCCAACGUAGUCAGAGAACAGAUAUAAUAAUCAAUAGUAAUAGCAAAAUAUCCCAAGCUAUGUCUUCAUUUUUACCUUUGUUAGAGUAAAUGCCAGCAGCCUGUACACCACACCCUGGUGGUUAAUUUAUGAAGUCCAUGUGCCAGAUAUUGCGUGUUUGAGCAUAUUUCUGCAGAUAUUAUGAUAGUAUCAAAAGCAGCCCCCAGAAGCUCUUGUACAGUGAAACGUUGCUGAGUUUGUGUUCCCCAAAGUUCCUGGAGAAUCCCAUACAGCGCAAAAUCCUUAGACAUUUAAUCAAAAACUCAUUAGUUGUUGUUUGCUUUAUGUCAGCCUCUUAGAUUAUAGCUGGGGCAUAAGUCAUAGUCUCUUACCUGGAGUAGUUUACCAUUUAUAGAGGAGAUGGCAGUUUAUUGGCAGGUUAUUCCUUCCUCGUCCAGCUUCUUUUCUCACCUACCACAUGAUAGAAUGGAUACACUUGUGUCACUAGUGAGCUGUUAAAGUUAGAAAAUGUGGUUCCUUUUUCAAUCCAAAGAAUAGAGACCCUCUUACUAUUAAUUCUUGCCUGUCCUUAAGGCUGAAGUUGCAUUAUUUUGCUCACAGUACAGUCAAGUAUAGAUUCUUAUUUCCUCAUCUUAUUGUCGUAUAUACAAUCUAGAAGCAAGAUACACACUGUGUUUAAAAUUAAAGGUACUUGAACUGUCUGGCCAUACUUGUUUUUUCAAAAUAACAAUAAUAGUUCUUAUUUAUUAGUGCCUGGUAUGUGCUAGGUUGCAUUUGAAAAAAUAAGUAUUAUUUCAAGCUCAGAUUUCUAAAUGUGUUGUUUACAGGUAGAGGAAGUCAGACACAAGGACACUAAUGUGCUUGGGGUCAUACACUUAGUAGGUAAUGAAGCUAGGACUCAAACUUAUUUUAAAGUCCAGAUACUGAAAGUUUUCAUGCUGAG
ensembl:lncRNA